GCAGAGGGAAGAGCAGGUGCUGUGACAAUGGCCCAACCCUCUGCGUGGCCCUGGCACAAUCCCUGCAGGGUGAUGUCCGCCCUCCUGGCUGCUCAGAGCUGGAUCUAAGCUGCUCCUUCCUGCUGCCUUUUCAGAUUCUCUGAUUCUGGGAACAAAGAAUUGGCAGGACAACUGAAAAUGACCAGGAGGAGGAUGUACUGGGUUCCCAGCUCUUCUGGUGGCCUCGUGAAUCUCGGCGUGGACGUAGGCGAUGGCGUGCCUUCAGGACUUAGCUGUAAACCUUACACUCUUGAAGACGGCCCCUGCAGCCAGCAGGAGAGGAAGCCUGAGGCACCGGGCAGGGCGGAGGUCCUCCCUUGGGGGAAGUACGACGCUGCCUGGAGAACCAUGAUUCCCUUCCGUCCCAAACCAAAUGAGGAAGAUUCACCCUGAGCUAACACCUGUGCCAAUCCUCCUUCAUUUUGUACAUGGGAUGCCUCCACAGCAUGGCUGAUGAGUGGAGUAGGUCCACGCGCGGGAUCUGAACCCGCGAACCCAGGCUGCUGAGGGGGAGCAUGUGGAACUUUAACCACUUGGCCAUGGGGCCAGCCCCCAAAUCACAUUUUUUUUGUGAGGAAGAUCGACCCUGAGCUAACAUCUGCCAAUCCUCCUCUUUUUGCUGAGGAAGACCGUCCGUGGGCUAACAUCCAUGCACAUCUUCCUCCACUUUACAUGGGACGCCGCCACAGCAUGGCUUGCCAAGCGGUGCACCGGUGCGCGCCUGGGAUCCGAACCGGUGAACCCCAGGCCGCCGCAGCGGAGCGCAUGCACUUAACCACUUACGCCACUGGGCCGGCCCCCCCAAAUCAUUUUUAAACAGAAUUUUCUUCAUAUUGAAACACAUAGGAAUAAAGAAAUUUUUGAAAAAAAGUAGAAAUUACACACAAUUCCAACACUCUAAUGCAAUCAUUAUUUGUGAAUCAUUCCCGGAGAUAUGACCUUAUCAUUCUUAUUUAUUUAUUUAUUUUGGUGAGCAAGAUUGGCACUGAGCUAGCAUCUGUUGCCAAUCUUCUUUUUGCUUGAGGAAGAUUGUCCCUGAACUAACACCCGUGCCAAUCUUCCUCUAUUUUAUACGUGGGAUGCCACCACAGCGUGGCUUGAUGAACAGUGUGUAAGUCCACGCAGAGGACCCGAACCGGUGAACCCUGGGCCACUGAAGUGGAUUGCAUGAACUUAACCACUACACCACCAAGCUGGCCCCAUUAUUUAUUUACUUUUUAUUUCAUUUUAUCGUUUUUGUGAAAGUUACAUAAGCAAAACAUAGAAAAAUUAAAACAAUGAG